AAGGAAUAUUGCGCAAUGGACGAAAGUCUGACGCAGCCACGCCGCGUGCAGGAUGACACCCCUACGGGGCGUAAACUGCUUUUAUGCGAGAAGAAAUCCCGGACUUGUCCGGGGCUGACGGUAUCGCACGAAU
rnacentral:rRNA from 1 species